AGCUUGGUGUAGUGCUUUAAUUGCUGGACUAGGACUCUGGAGACCAAGGUUCAAAUCCUGGCUCAGCUU